GGUGGUGUCGAUGGUUGUGUCAGCUCGUGUCGUGAGAUGUUGGGUUUAAGUCCCGCAACGAGCGCAACCCUCGUUCUAUGUUGCCAGCACGUCAUGGUGGGAACUCAUAGGAGACUGCCGGGGUCAACUCGGAGGAAGGUGGGGAUGACGUCAAAUCAUCAUGCCCCUUAUGUCUUGGGCUUCACGCAUGCUACAAUGGCCGAUACAAAGGGCUGCAAUACCGUAAGGUGGAGCGAAUCCCAAAAAGUCGGUCUCAGUUCGGAUUGAGGUCUGCAACUCGACCUCAUGAAGUCGGAGUCGCUAGUAAUCGCAGAUCAGCAACGCUGCGGUGAAUACGUUCCCGGGCCUU
rnacentral:rRNA from 1 species